ACACACACACACACACACACACACACACACACACACACACACACACACACACACACACACACACACACACACACACACACACACACACACACACACACUCACACACACACAAUCCCCUGAGUAAUGCCAGGAGGGAUCAGGAGACUGGGAUCUGUAGAUCAGAGGGUCACACAGCAGGGUUCUGUCAGCUCCCCAUCACUCAGAGCAAUGAGGCGAGGCUUGAUAGUCAUCCAGCAGUCAUUCCGUAGUUUAGCUACCUGUCUGUUACCUCAGAUACCUUUAUUUCCUGUACAAACUAGGUGUCAUUCCAUAGGUUAGCUGUCUGUCUGUUACCUCAGGUGUCAUUCCUUAGGUUAGCUGUCUGUCUGUUACCUCAGGUGUCGUUCCUUAGGUUAGCUAUCUGUCUGUUACCUCAGGUGUCAUUCCAUAGGUUAGCUGUCUGUCUGUUACCUCAGAUACCUUUAUUUCCUGUACAUACAAGGUGUCAUUCCAUAUGUUAGCUACCUGUCUGUUACCUCAGGUGUCAUUCCAUAGGUUAGCUACCUGUCUGUUACCUCAGGUGUCAUUCCAUAGGUUAGCUACCUGUCUGUUACCUCAGGUGUCAUUCCAUAGGUUAGCUGUCUGUCUGUUACCUCAGGUGUCAUUCCAUAGGUUAGCUGUCUGUCUGUUACCUCAGGUGUCAUUCCAUAGGUUAGCUACCUGUCUGUUACCUCAGGUGUCAUUCCAUAGGUUAGCUGUCUGUCUGUUACCUCAGAUACCUUUAUUUCCUGUACAAACUAGGUGUCAUUCCAUAGGUUAGCUACCUGUCUGUUACCUCAGAUACCUUUAUUUCCUGUACAAACAAGGUGUCAUUCCAUAGGUUAGCUGUCUGUCUGUUACCUCAGGUGUCAUUCCAUAGGUUAGCUACCUGUCUGUUACCUCAGGUGUCAUUCCAUAGGUUAGCUACCUGUCUGUUACCUCAGGUGUCAUUCCAUAGGUUAGCUACCUGUCUGUUACCUCAGGUGUCAUUCCAUAGG